rnacentral:rRNA from 1 species
UACGGGGGGAGCAAGCGUUGUUCGGAUUUACUGGGCGUAAAGGGCGCGUAGGCGGCGUGACAAGUCACUUGUGAAAUCUCCGGGCUUAACUCGGAACGGUCAAGUGAUACUGUCGUGCUAGAGUACAGAAGGGGCAACUGGAAUUCUCGGUGUAGCGGUGAAAUGCGUAGAUAUCGAGAGGAACACCUGCGGCGAAGGCGGGUUGCUGGGCUGAUACUGACGCUGAGCCGCGAAAGCCAGGGGAGCGAACGGG